rnacentral:rRNA from 1 species
AUACGGAGGGUGCAAGCGUUAUUCGGAAUCACUGGGCGUAAAGGGUGCGUAGGCGGUUUGGUAAGUCUGAUGUGAAAUCCUAUGGCUCAACCAUAGAACUGCAUUGGAAACUACUAAACUAGAAUACUGAAGGGGCAGAUGGAAUUAGUGGUGUAGGGGUAAAAUCCGUAGAUAUCACUAGGAAUACCGAAAGCGAAAGCGAUCUGCUGGGAAGUUAUUGACGCUGAGGCACGAAAGCGUGGGGAGCAAACGGGAUUAGAAACCCCGGUAGUCC